rnacentral:rRNA from 1 species
GACGAACGCUGGCGGCGUGCUUAACACAUGCAAGUCGAACGGAAAGGCCUGCUUUCCCUUGUGGAUUGCGGGUACUCGAGUGGCGAACGGGUGAGUAACACGUGAGUGAUCUGCCCCCAACUUGGGUAUAAGCCUGGGAAACUGGGUCUAAUUCCCGAUAGGACUGCAGGGUGGUGCCUGUGGUGGAAAACGAUUUUCUAGUGGUUGGGGAUGAGCUCGCGGCCUAUCAGCUUGUUGGUGGGGUAAUGGCCUACCAAGGCGGCGACGGGUAGCCGGCCUGAGAGGGUUGACGGCCACAUUGGGACUGAGAUACGGCCCAGACGCCUACGGGAGGCAGCAGUGGGGAAUAUUGCACAAUGGGCGGAAGCCUGAUGCAGCGACGCCGCGUGGGGGAUGACGGCCUUCGGGUUGUAAACUCCUUUCGACCGCGAGGAAGCCACCUGGUUGGAGGGGUGGUGACGGUAGUGGUAGAAGAAGCACCGGCUAACUACGUG